rnacentral:rRNA from 1 species
UGGCGACCGGCGCACGGGUGAGUAACACGUAUCCAACCUGCCGAUGACUCGGGGAUAGCCUUUCGAAAGAAAGAUUAAUACCCGAUGGCAUAGUUCUUCCGCAUGGUAGAACUAUUAAAGAAUUUCGGUCAUCGAUGGGGAUGCGUUCCAUUAGCUUGUUGGCGGGGUAACGGCCCACCAAGGCAUCGAUGGAUAGGGGUUCUGAGAGGAAGGUCCCCCACAUUGGAACUGAGACACGGUCCAAGCUCCUACGGGAGGCAGCAG